rnacentral:rRNA from 1 species
GACGAACGCUGGCGGCGUGCUUAACACAUGCAAGUCGAACGGUGAAGCGCCUUCCUUUUUGGUGGGUGUGGAUGAGUGGCGAACGGGUGAGUAACACGUGAGUAACCUGCCCCCUUCUUCUGGAUAACCGCAUGAAAGUGUGGCUAAUACGGGAUAUUCUGGGUCUGUCGCAUGAUGGGUCUGGGAAAGAUAUUGUUUCGGUGGGGGAUGGGCUCGCGGCCUAUCAGCUUGUUGGUGGGGUGAUGGCCUACCAAGGCGGUGACGGGUAGCCGGCCUGGGAGGGUGGACGGUCACACUGGGACUGAGACACGGCCCAGACUCCUACAGGAGGCAGCAGUGAGGAAUAUUGCACAAUGGGCGCAAGCCUGAUGCAGCGACGCCGCGUGAGGGAUGGAGGCCUUCGGGUUGUGAACCUCUUUCGCCAGUGAAGCAGGCCUGCCUCGUUUGUGGGUGGGUUGACGGUAGCUGGAUAAGAAGCGCCGGCUAACUACGUG